rnacentral:rRNA from 1 species
AGAGUUUGAUCCUGGCUCAGGAUGAACGCUGGCGGCGUGCCUAAUACAUGCAAGUCGAGCGAACGGACGAGAAGCUUGCUUCUCUGAUGUUAGCGGCGGACGGGUGAGUAACACGUGGAUAACCUACCUAUAAGACUGGGAUAACUUCGGGAAACCGGAGCUAAUACCGGAUAAUAUUUUGAACCGCAUGGUUCAAAAGUGAAAGACGGUCUUGCUGUCACUUAUAGAUGGAUCCGCGCUGCAUUAGCUAGUUGGUAAGGUAACGGCUUACCAAGGCAACGAUGCAUAGCCGACCUGAGAGGGUGAUCGGCCACACUGGAACUGAGACACGGUCCAGACUCCUACGGGAGGCAGCAGUAGGGAAUCUUCCGCAAUGGGCGAAAGCCUGACGGAGCAACGCCGCGUGAGUGAUGAAGGUCUUCGGAUCGUAAAACUCUGUUAUUAGGGAAGAACAUAUGUGUAAGUAACUGUGCACAUCUUGACGGUACCUAAUCAGAAAGCCACGGCUAACUACGUGCCAGCAGCCGCGGUAAUACGUAGGUGGCAAGCGUUAUCCGGAAUUAUUGGGCGUAAAGCGCGCGUAGGCGGUUUUUUAAGUCUGAUGUGAAAGCCCACGGCUCAACCGUGGAGGGUCAUUGGAAACUGGAAAACUUGAGUGCAGAAGAGGAAAGUGGAAUUCCAUGUGUAGCGGUGAAAUGCGCAGAGAUAUGGAGGAACACCAGUGGCGAAGGCGACUUUCUGGUCUGUAACUGACGCUGAUGUGCGAAAGCGUGGGGAUCAAACAGGAUUAGAUACCCUGGUAGUCCACGCCGUAAACGAUGAGUGCUAAGUGUUAGGGGGUUUCCGCCCCUUAGUGCUGCAGCUAACGCAUUAAGCACUCCGCCUGGGGAGUACGACCGCAAGGUUGAAACUCAAAGGAAUUGACGGGGACCCGCACAAGCGGUGGAGCAUGUGGUUUAAUUCGAAGCAACGCGAAGAACCUUACCAAAUCUUGACAUCCUUUGACAACUCUAGAGAUAGAGCUUUCCCCUUCGGGGGACAAAGUGACAGGUGGUGCAUGGUUGUCGUCAGCUCGUGUCGUGAGAUGUUGGGUUAAGUCCCGCAACGAGCGCAACCCUUAAGCUUAGUUGCCAUCAUUAAGUUGGGCACUCUAAGUUGACUGCCGGUGACAAACCGGAGGAAGGUGGGGAUGACGUCAAAUCAUCAUGCCCCUUAUGAUUUGGGCUACACACGUGCUACAAUGGACAAUACAAAGGGCAGCGAAACCGUGAGGUCAAGCAAAUCCCAUAAAGUUGUUCUCAGUUCGGAUUGUAGUCUGCAACUC